UGGGUUCUGUAAUUUCACUAAAUCAAUUUCCUACUUCUCCUAUGUUCGAAUGUGGUUUGUGUGCCAAAGGUUCAAGUUGUUGUGGGCAGAGACAGGUGGACAGUCCAUGAGGUCCCCAGCCUACCUAAUGUGAAACAGGAAGAAAAGACCCAGCCGCCAUCGCUCAAGCACUGGGAGGUAGCCUGGGCCCCGAUACACUGCAGGAAGGAGAACCACGCCAGCUCCCAACCCAGCCGCCAUCACUCCACUGCCAGAAAGGUAGCCCCGUGGAUGCCCCUGAACCCCCAUAAGUCCCAUCCCCCGCACUCUCAGACCUCCUGUGUCAGUCUUUGGACCCACUCUGCAGAGGCAGAGGUGGUCAUCAGGGAUAUUUUUCUGAAUUCCCAACUUUGAACAUCUUUAAAGAAAGGGCAUGGGAAACCAGUAAUAGAACAUUGUGGAGUUCAACCAUUCAGAAGGUUGGGGAACUCAAUAUAGGCCUUGCAGCCAAGGUCAGUCAGUGUCAUGGGGUUCAGCCAUCAGCUAACUGAGACCAGAGGUCUUGC
rnacentral:lncRNA from 1 species